rnacentral:lncRNA from 1 species
CUUAAUACAAUAGCACUUUCCUACAGACGGAACAUAAAGACCACAUUCAAAGUUCCUUGGGCAAAGCUAGAACUGUCAUUUUUCUAAUAAGAAGAUUGAUCUUUGUUCUCCCUUGUGAGUGUAGAGUCGCUAGUCAGAGGCAAGGAAUAGAGGAAAGUAGGAGAUUGAAGAAAGGGUCAAAGGCCUUAUUACAACUUAUACCAUUAUGAGUGGUACUUAUAAAAUAAAACCGCUGAGUCUUCAGACUUAGUAUUUAUGGAAGGCUCUUCUAUGCGACCACAUAUAGAAAGAUCACAAGUCCAUGAACCUGGAGAUUUCCUCACGCCUAGGAAACAAUGAGC